CACGGAGUUAGCCGGUGCUUAUUCGUAUAGUACCUUCAGCUACUCUCACGAGAGUAGGUUUAUCCCUAUACAAAAGAAGUUUACAACCCAUAGGGCCGUCGUCCUUCACGCGGGAUGGCUGGAUCAGGCUCUCACCCAUUGUCCAAUAUUCCUCACUGCUGCCUCCCGUAGGGGUCUGGUCCGUGUCUCAGUACCAGUGUGGGGGAUCACCCUCUCAGGCCCCCUAAAGAUCAUUGACUUGGUGAGCCGUUACCUCACCAACUAUCUAAUCUUGCGCGUGCCCAUCUCUAUCCACCGGAGUUUUCAAUAUUCAAUGAUGCCAUCAAAUAUAUUAUGGGGUAUUAAUCUUCCUUUCGAAAGGCUAUCCCCCUGAUAAAGGUAGGUUGCACACGUGUUCCGCACCCGUGCGCCGCUCUCAAGAUUCCGAAGAAUCUCUACCGCUCGGCUUGCAUGUGUUAGGCCUCCCGCUAGCGUUCAUCCUGAGCCAGGAUCAAACUCUCG
rnacentral:rRNA from 1 species